UACGUAGGGAGCAAGCGUUGUCCGGAAUCAUUGGGCGUAAAGCGCGCGUAGGCGGCCCUGUAAGUCCGUUGUGAAAGUCAAAGGCUCAACCUUUGAAAGCCGAUGGAUACUGCAGGGCUAGAGUCCGGAAGAGGCGAGUGGAAUUCCUGGUGUAGCGGUGGAAUGCGCAGAUAUCAGGAGGAACACCAAUAGCGAAGGCAGCUCGCUGGGACGGUACUGACGCUAAGGCGCGAAAGCGUGGGGAGCGAACAGGAGUUAGAU
rnacentral:rRNA from 1 species